UGAUGAUGAUGAUGAUGAUGAUGAUGAUGAUGAUGAUGAUCCUUAAUAUUUAAGGAGAGGCAGAAAAGUGGGAAGUCAGUCCAGACAUUUCUAAUCCAGCUACAGAUUCCAGCUCCUCUUGCCGGAUCCCCAGACAUUACCACGGUGACUGAGAGCUAUAAUCUCUGUCCUGGGUCUGCCCCGGGGUCUCCGUCCAGCUCUACUUCAAGUGUCUCUCAGAUUCUCGAGAUCCUCACCUUAUCGUGGAGAUUAAGCCCAGCAAUCCUGUGAAGGAAACUCAUUUUCUCCAAUAAGAUGGCAUCACAAACCUGCUGAUGAGCAACGACACCAAGGGAGGAACCUCACAACGCUGCAGAAGGAAGAAGGUUUUAGAGAAAAGAUAAAAUCACUGGAAUAAUUCUGCAAAACUUUCUGUGAUGGCUUUCUGCUUCUCAUCACAUCUCACAUCAACAAUCUGACCGCUGUUUCUGAAAUCUAUGGGUAAAUUCUCCAUCACUGUUACGUGGUGAUCCACAGACUGAAUUUCAACUCGAGUCUUCAUCUUCUGUUUCUGGAUCAUGAAAGGAGAAGUGAGCGGAUGUUUGUUUCGAGGCAGGAAAUAAACUGUUGAAAUUCGUUCUGUUCAUUUCAGGAAUAUAUGUGUGUGUG
ensembl:lncRNA